GAUGAACGCUGGCGGCGUGCCUAAUACAUGCAAGUCGAGCGAACAGACGAGGAGCUUGCUCCUCUGACGUUAGCGGCGGACGGGUGAGUAACACGUGGAUAACCUACCUAUAAGACUGGGAUAACUUCGGGAAACCGGAGCUAAUACCGGAUAAUAUAUUGAACCGCAUGGUUCAAUAGUGAAAGACGGUUUUGCUGUCACUUAUAGAUGGAUCCGCGCCGCAUUAGCUAGUUGGUAAGGUAACGGCUUACCAAGGCGACGAUGCGUAGCCGACCUGAGAGGGUGAUCAGCCACACUGGAACUGAGACACGGUCCAGACUCCUACGGGGGGCAGCAGUAGGGAAACUUCCGCAAUGGGCGAAAGCCUGACGGAGCAACGCCGCGUGAGUGAUGAAGGUCUUCGGAUCGUAAAACUCUGUUAUUAGGGAAGAACAAAUGUGUAAGUAACUAUGCACGUCUUGACGGUACCUAAUCAGAAAGCCACGGCUAACUACGUG
rnacentral:rRNA from 1 species